ensembl:lncRNA
CUCCUCUCUCGGACUUAGCCACGCCCUUCAUUAGUUCCUGAGGGGAUUUUUCAGAACAGAGGUUAUGGCAGUUUCACCAUCCAAUUCCAUUUUUAUCAGGUGUGCUUCCUGGCCAAAGAAGUCAGAUGAGUGCAUGAGCAGCCCCUUUGAGGACAAGGCUUGGAUUCCCAGGAGCAGACAAGGAACUCUGUGGGCAUACUCCAAGGAAACUGUCACUGGGAGUAAGGAAGCUCAGCAAAGGACUGCUGUGUGGGCUGAGAAAACUGAGAAAGUCUGCUUGGGAAGUUGUGUCAAUCUUCAUCUCCACAUCGAGAUGGCAUGGGGGUUACCUGACCUUACCUGACCAGUUUCCAUGUUUGGUACCCCUGGAUCAUAUUCAUUGUCAGGUAGGAAAUUGUUAUUUGGCACCCAAUGUCAUGUUGUGCUUAUCAUGUACCCAAAGUUGAUAGAUGACUUAAAAAUGUAGGCUUGAAAGGUAUCCAGUUUCUAAUCUGGGAAGGAGAACAGCAGGCCUGAGAGGAACAGGCCUCAUGUGCAGAGGGAUGUAUCAUCUGUACAUGGUUGGGAGAAGCUCAGAGAAGGUUAGUCAAACCUGUCUAUCCAGUAGAGGUUAGUUAACUGUGAAACUAUCACUAACAGUAAAGGUAACUUUGAACUCUGAGGAGGAGAAGGUUUGUUGCCAUUGUUUGGGGACCAUGCUUCAGAGG